CCUACGGGAGGCAGCAGUGAGGAAUAUUGGUCAAUGGACGAGAGUCUGAACCAGCCAAGUAGCGUGAAGGAUGACUGCCCUAUGGGUUGUAAACUUCUUUUAUAAAGGAAUAAAACGAGGCACGUGUGCCUUUGUGCAUGUACUUUAUGAAUAAGGAUCGGCUAACUCCGUGCCAGCAGCCGCGGUAAUACGGGGGAUCCGAGCGUUAUCCGGAUUUAUUGGGGUUAAAGGGAGCGUAGAUGGGUUAUUACGUCAGUUGUGAAGGUUUGCGGCUCAACCGGAAAAUUGCAAUUGAUACUGGCAGUCUUGAGUGCAGUUGAGGUAGGCGGAAUUCGUGGUGUAGCGGUGAAAUGCUUAGAUAUCACGAAGAACCCCGAUUGCGAAGGCAGGUUACUAAGCUGUGACUGACAUUGAUGCGCGAAAGUGUGGGGAGCGAACAGGAUUAGAUACCCUUGUAGUC
rnacentral:rRNA from 1 species